UAUGAGGUUCCCGGUAUUCCGAAUUUCACAUGGCAUAAUCUUGAUUUCAUUUCUCCACGGGAUCACGUCUAUUAUUUUUACAUGUGACAAUGGUUGGAGUUAUUUUAGCGGGAAAUGUUACAAAGCAUUUCUUGGUGGUAGAGACUGGCAUGCCACUCGUAGAGCUUGUUUAAACCUCGGUGCAACACUACCUGUAGUACCAAACAAAGCCACACACGAAUUUAUCGUCAGUUCUUAUGGGAGACAGUGGGGUAGAUUUGGAACAUACUUGUCUGCAAAUGACAUUUCCAGUGAAGGAACAUGGAACUGGGUGGAUAGCGAGGAACCGUUUUCUUUCACAUACUGGGGGCCAGG